rnacentral:rRNA from 1 species
GGAGUUACAAAAGAAAGUUAUAAAUGAAGCGGUCUGGAAAGGCCCGCCAAAGACGGUAACAGCCCGGUAGUUGAAAUAGCUUUCCCUCCAGAGUGGAUCCUGAGUACGGCGGAACACGUGAAAUUCCGUCGGAAUCCGGGAGGACCAUCUCCCAAGGCUAAAUACUCCCUAGUGACCGAUAGUGAACCAGUACCGUGAGGGAAAGGUGAAAAGCACCCCGGAAGGGGAGUGAAACAGUUCCUGAAACCGUGUGCCUACAAGUAGUUAGAGCCCGUUAAUGGGUGAUAGCGUGCCUUUUGUAGAAUGAACCGGCGAGUUACGAUUUGUUGCAAGGUUAAGCGGAAAAAGCGGAGCCGUAGCGAAAGCGAGUCUGAAUAGGGCGCAUAAGUAACAGGUCGUAGACCCGAAACCAGGUGAUCUACCCAUGUCCAGGAUGAAGGUAAGGUAAUACUUACUGGAGGUCCGAACCCACGCACGUUGAAAAGUGCGGGGAUGAGGUGUGGGUAGCGGAGAAAUUCCAAUCGAACUUGGAGAUAGCUGGUUCUCUCCGAAAUAGCUUUAGGGCUAGCCUCGAGGUAAAGAGUCAUGGAGGUAGAGCACUGUUUGGACUAGGGGCCCUUCUCGGGUUACCGAAUUCAGAUAAACUCCGAAUGCCAUGUACUUAUACUCGGGAGUCAGACUGCGAGUGAUAAGAUCCGUAGUCGAAAGGGAAACAGCCCAGACCACCAGUUAAGGUCCCCAAAUAUAUGUUAAGUGGAAAAGGAUGUGGGGUUGCUUAGACAACCAGGAUGUUGGCUUAGAAGCAGCCACCAUUGAAAGAGUGCGUAAUAGCUCACUGGUCGAGUGACCCCGCGCCGAAAAUGUACCGGGGCUAAACAUA